AUUAAAAUAAUUAUUAAGCUCAUUUGUAAAUUUGCGUGCAUGUUUUCUAUGCACGAAUGGGAAGGAACAGAAAAAAAAAGCAACCUUUAGAAAUUACCUUUGGUGUUCUUGUAAAUUUGAGAAAAAUGUUAAAUGUUGUGAGGGGAUCGAAGUUUCAAUUUUUAGAAACUUAUUUGUAGUCUUAAUUCAUUUUUUUGAGUGACCAUUUCGUGGGUACACACUGCUCUCUUAUAUUUUUGUGCAAUUGUAUGUUCUUAUUGAUAUUUACUCACUUCACUGAUGCUUUGAGUCAGGAUUGAGAAAAUAUUUCAACUGGAUCAGCACAAAAAGACAUCUCAGCACCAGAACAACAUAACCAAGACACGGUUAAAAACUUCACAGCAACCAUUGAUCUCCUCAUUUUCAAUGCAUAUGGAUGACAAAAAAGCUUUAAUAAAAGCAAACAUCCCCUUGAAUAAGCUGGAGAAUGAAGGAUUAAAGAUCUUCUUGAAAAAAUACACAGGAAAAGAUAUUCCUCACGGGUCAACACUCAGAAACAACUAUGAGGACCAAUUGUAUGAAAAGACGUUGGAGAAUAUUAGGAAAGACGUUGGCGAUUUUCCAGUCUGGCUAUCUUUUGACGAAACCACUGAUUCUUGUGGUUGGUAUAUGGUGCACAUCAUAGUUGGAAACCUGUCUGCUGAUAAGUCUGGAUGAGGACAUAGUGUGCAAAGAAGUGGAGGGAACGACACACACCAUGAUUGCACACACACAGUGCAAGAAGCAUUGCGCGUGCUAUGAAGGAGUGAAGAUCAGAAAUGUGAGGAGAACAAGGUUUUGGCCAUUGUGACGGAUAGUGCCGCAUAUAUGCUGAUGGCCGCAAAGUAUCUCUGGGUGUUUUACCCUAAAAUUAUUCACCUUACGUGUCUGGCUCAUGGCAUCCAUCGAGUUGCUGAAGUGGUCAGAGCCACAUUGCCUGAGGUCAACAGCCUUAUAUCUUCUGCAAAGAAGGUUUUCAUCAAGGCACCAAGUUGAGUGACAGCUUUCAAAACUGCUCACCCUGACUAUCCUCUGCCAUCUGAACCAGAUUUGACAAGGUGGGGAACAUGGAUUUCAGCUGCAAACUAUUAUGCGGACAACCACAGAAAAGUUGAAGAGGUCCUAAAGGGGUUUGAAGAUAGUGAAAAUUUAGCCACAACAAAAGCGAAGGACGCCCUGAAGAAUUCCAGCAUGUUACACAGCCUAUCUUUCAUCCGAGUGCACUUGGGUGGCCUUCCAGGCCUAACUGAGAAACUUGAGACUUGUAACAUGGAAGUUACGAAGGCAGUGGCUCUCGUCGAAGGACUCAGGACACAGAGCAAGAGUUGGCCAGGUCCGAUCGGUAAGAGACUUAGAAGAAAAUUGGAUGCAGUUCUUCACAGAAAUCCUGGUUGGUGUAUGAUUCGGAAGAUUGCUCAGUUACUGGAAGGAGAGAAACACUCUGAGAGUCUAGAUGAUUUCAGGUCAUCUAAUGUCGCUGCUUUUAAACUUUUACUUGUAGUGUCAAGUGACGUUGAACCAUCAUUUUCAAGAUUGAAAAUGUUAUUAUCUGAC